AUUAAAAUCAGUAAAAUUUUUUAUAUAGAAUCAAAAUGAUCCGGUCAAUUAAUCAACAGAACUCUAUUGAGUGCCAGAUGCUCAGUUCUGCUCUCCUCUGUGUGUGGGGGAACAUAAUGAGAAUAGAUGUGGGAAACCUAAUUUGGGAGAUAGGAUAUGUGCACAUGAAAACAUAACUCAAAACUCAGAACACACUAUGAUAAUUAGCAUGUAGUUGGUACAAUAUGGUAUGCACAAUUAGAGCUAUAAAAACUGGAUGGAAGUAAUAGUUCCUCAAGUUUAGAUGGUGAAAAAUGUCUCCUGGAAGAGGUCCCCGCCAUGAAUCCAAACUCCGUCUUCCUUUGCUUGUUCAAAGAGGACACUUCUGAGUGGUAUCCCUGGGAAACUUGUCCUUAAUAUUCCGUCUUCCCGGAAUCCAGCUUCCUCUUCUCUUCCCCUCCUCUUUCCGGUGCCCUGCAACCUACUGGCAUGGUUGAGACCCUCUUUUAUGAUAGAAGGGCUCAGACAAAAGCCUCGGUAUCGAUUGCCAGUGAGGCAUGAAAAUAAGAUUUUCAACAUAUUUACUAACGAACAGUUGUUGAGGCACAUAUAUAUAUACUCACUUGUACCCGUUUAGUUCCUGGAACCACAGGUUGGAGACGUUUAACAAAGCCUAGUUCUAAUAGGAAGAAAAAUGAGAGUCAGCUUUUCUUGUAGUUUGUUUGCUCCCAGAGAGCAAACAUAUGUCUUCUAUGAGUCUUUUCCAUAGUUUCUGAAACUACCUUAGCAAGAUAAAUACUACUUUCUUUCUCUGACAGGCAUGAAGGUCUCCAACUCCUGUUAAUAUGUUUUCCUUUUAGCACAGCGCCUCUUGAUGGAAGAUUGUAAACUACUUAUACUUCUUAGUCUGGUCCUGCCCAAAACACCUCAUGCCUUCAAGAAGUUUGGCUUUAUGUCAAGUCUUCUGAGGAGGAAUGGAUUACAUAAACAUCACACUACACUAUUAUUAUUUGUUGCUUUGUCACAUUGGUGUGUUAUAACAACUCGUGGUGAUUUUAAUUAUCAUUAUUAAUAACUAUUAAAUAUACCCUAUAUGUUCUAAUCAGGUGUGGAAAGGUGACUCAUGUCUAGUUUGAGACUAACGAGAUCCUCUACAUAUCAUUUAGGGUCAUGUCACUCAGGUUAGGUGAAGGAGUAAAGAAACAUGAUUGCCUCGACAUAGUGCUGGGCAACUAAGAAAUACGUCAGUAGACUUAGAAUCAAAUAGAGCAAAAUUCAUGCUUAACCCUGUUAGUGUGAUGUUUUAUUGACUGGGGAGAUUCAGUUGGGCCUUUGGGAAAUAGGUGAGGAGCGCAGGGCUUGCAAUGGGCAAGUGACAAAAGAAACAUGAGAGCUCAGAUGCUGGGUGGAAACUGCAGACAGUUCUAAGUCAAAUGCUAAGGAAAUAAGACACAGUCCAGACAGAUGAGAACCCUGUGUAAGAGCAGGAGAAAUCAUGUGGGCUGAGGAACUCCUUCAAGGCCUGUGAUGUAGUGUGGGUUCAAAACAUGAUACUUGAUUUUUUAAUACUGCUCUUAAAUUGAUUAAAAUUAAUUAGUAUAUUUUCCAUUUAAAUUAAGUACAAAAAUAGGUAAAACUAACCUAUCAGCUUAGAAGUCAGGGUAACAGUGACCCUUGACGGAGUGGUCAGUGACGGGCAGGCAUUAGGGGUAUGUCUGGGGGCUGGUGAUGUUCUGUUUCUUAAUCUGAGUGCCCUUAAGGGGUGUGCUCAGUUAGUGAAAAAUUCAUUUUUAUGUUUACUAGGUGAGCACUUUUUAUGUGAAUAUUAAUACUUCAAUAAACAGUUUUUUAAAAGUAAGAAAUCAGUAGAUUUCAAAGGACGGUCACCUCUGCAGUGCAUCAGCCUUAGGUGAAUGGCUUUGUAGGGAGAUCUCAAGCCCUGGGAAAUGAGCCAGUGCAGCAGAACAGAAUGGCUCUGCACGAGCUGACCAGCUCACAGAGAGCCUCCCUCAGUUCUCUCCGCCGCCUUGCUACUUGCCGUGUUACCUACGUCAGCAUUCAACACUACUGUGGGGGAAGGUCAUCAUUGUGUGUUGGGAGUGAAGUGGAUAAAUAAAAUACAAUAAUGACUUUGAUGUUUCUCCACUCCUGGUAACUAGGCAUUCUCAGACACUGGGUCGUUUUUCUCAAAGUAGAUCUGGCUAGGAGUAUGUAUUUGUAACCCCAGAUGGACCAGAAAGUGAUUGUACCUUGAUUCCCAGAUGGUUGUGGUUUUUGGUUUUUGUUUCAUUUUGUUUUGUCUUUUUCUUUAAGGAAGUUUAGCCCUAAGCUGACAUCUGAGCCAAUCUUCCUCUCUUUUGUAUAUGGGUUGCCACCACAUCAUGGCUGAUGAGUGGUAUAGGUCAAUGCCCAGGAUCCCAACCCACGAACCCGGGCAGCCAAAGCAGAGUACACUGAACUUAACCACUAGGCCACGGGGCUGGCCCUGUGGUUUUUGUUUUUAAUCAUGGACAUCCUGAGAGGUCAAUUCAGGUCUCAGCAGCUACAUUCCAUAACCAGGAUCUAAGUUUUGUUAGUGCUCCCUUGUCCUGCCCACCACCAGCUCUUGUCUGUGACCUUACAGUGAAGCUCUCAUUGACCCUGUCUUCCAAGUGCUAUUACAUCAAGAGUGAGGUCCUUGUUUUCCAUUGGAUUAUUCAUUUGGGUCAGAUGAGAUAUGGUGUGAUGAUUCGGUUUAUGGGUCAGCUUGCCAGGGGCACAAGGUGCCAAGAUAUUUGGUCAAACAUUAUUCUGGGUGUGUCUGUGAGAGUGUUUUUGGAUGGGGUUAACUUUUGAAUGGAUAGACUGAGUAAAGCAGAUGUCCCCCCCCUAAUGUGGGUGACCCUCAUCUGAGCAGUUGAUUGCCUGAAUGGAAAAAAAAGACUGACCCUCCUAGGAAUAGAAAAAAAGGAACUUCUCCUCCCUGAUCACUUGAGCUGGAACAUCAGUCUCUUCCUGCCUUCAGACUAGACCUGAAACAUCAGCUUUUCUGGGGUCUCAGGUCGGCCAGCUUUCAGACUGGACUUUACGUCAUCAGCUCUCCUGGUUCUCAGGCCUUUGGACUCAGACAGGAAGUGCACCAUCGGCUCUCCUGGGUCUCCAGCCUGCUAACUGCGGACCCUGGGACAUCUCAGCCUCCAUCAUAGGAACCAAUUCCUUGUAGUGUGUGUGUGUGUGUCUGUGUGUGAGAGAGCUAUAGAGGGACAAGUUUGUGGUAGCUGUAACAGAACAAGAUCAAAAUGGUAUUCUGGCUAGAUUAUAUUAACCAAUUCUGAUUAUUUCUUAUACCUGAUACCCUUCUUUUAAAAACAUAAUUAUCUGAGCUGUUUUACAAAGGGAAUAAAAACGUUAUAUUGAAUAGAGGAAAUAUCUUCCAUACUCAGGUUGAUACUUGUGUCAAAUUUAUGUCUUUUAUUUCAACCAAGCUUAGAUAAUCACAAACAGAAUUUUAAGAAAAAUGUUUUUCUCCAGUGGACCUGCUGGAGAAGGAGGAAGAACAUGGUCCUUCUGGCACACAGCCGAUGGGUGUUAGGUCAUCCCUAUUAGAGGAAGAUGCAGGGAUGCAUUUGAGAAAGUUUCCUUUUCAAUUAGAGCCAAGGGCGGGGGCAGGAAAGGACUCUGCAUGUUGCUUAGACCUCACUACCAGGGAGAGAGAGACUUUUUCUGAGUGCUGAUCUUUAUCUAUUUCUGACAAAAUCAAGUACUGCCACCCUGGAGUGGACAGGAUUUAUUCUGUCAUUGGCAAGUUUAGAGUGAGAAUGGCUUCAAAGAGUUCUUAUGCAGGAGAAACAGAAGUCACCUCAAAAUUUUACUUUGCACUUCAGAUACUGAACCUAGAGAACUAGGAGGAAAACAAAUUGGAAAGACAGGAAAGUCACCUAUUUGACCUAAGUUGUAUAGCGGGAGUGUACCCUGACUUUUGAAUUGAGAGCUUAUUUUGUACAGAGAACGUGUUAGCUGACUGAAAUGGAUGCAUACGUAGAAGGAGUGCUCCAUUACCUUGUUGGGUUGUAAAAGUUUUAAACUACGUAUUAAUUAACUCAGAUCAAUGCUUUAAGCUAACUGCCUGGCUAAUGUUCCUAACUCAGCCACAAACAAAAGAAAAGCAGAGAGGAGACACAGGUAGAAUGUCAUCUGUCUCUAAGGGCACCCAACUGAGUUGACUUAAUUUUAGUGAUAACAAAUGUCACACUGGUUUAGUAGAAUUUAUGACUUUUUAAAUGAAUAGUAAUCAAAUAUUUUGACAGGAAGCUUCCUCAUUGUCACAGGCUAUUUUGGAUUCUGCAACUCAAAUUAAUAAAAUGGUUCCUGGGGUGCACAGCAUAAUUCUGAGAACAUAUUCUCUGCUAAACAUAGUGUUACAGUGUUUCUCCUUAAUUCGGAAGCUUUCUACCUAGAAAUGCUAAGAAAGCAGAUUCUCUUUAAAAUUUCUGAAUGUAACCGCCAAAAGGGGUCCUCUACUUGCCACAAAGACAAGCCAACAGUUCAGAGACAAGGUGGUAGGAGAGAAAGGGUCUUUUUAUUACAGCUUGCUAGCAAGGGGGAAGAUGGCAGACUAGUGUCAUAAAGAACCAUCUUAAAACCAUAAAAUGUUGAAGUAGUUCUAUAGGGCAAAUGGACAGAAGCAGGCGGGUGGGAGGGGGGUCUCAGGAUGUCGAUCAUCUGGUGUUGUGGUCCUUGAGACUCCAGAUCAUCCCUUCCUCUUGUCACCGGUGAUGGAUACCAGCAGAGGGCUUUCUCCUGGAGGUCAUUACAUCCCUGGGAAAACUUAAAGAACACAGUUAUUACCUUAUCAGAAUAGGGAGGUCUAAGGAUAAGCCAAGGCUACAGAAAUAGCAGAGCAUGCAUAUUUCUUAUAAGCAGGCGUGUACUUAUCUAGGCUUCCUGCAAACUAAAGCAUUGCUGACAAAGAGGACGAGUGUCUUGUGGGCUGGGGUCAUUUAUAGUCCUAACAUGGUUCUGAUGCAGAUCAAGCCUGCCCCCAAGGAGAGAAAUCCAAGGCAUCCUGCCCUACAUACCAAUCUAUAUCAUCCUCCAGGAAGCAUAGGACGUCCUGACCUGAUCCUACCUGAUUCUUAUCCAAAGGGAUAGGACUACUCAAUAACCAGACCCCACUGAUGCAGGGUUGGCAAGCCGAAGAGUCAAAAGAAAGAUUUCUUGGACUCUCAAGGUCUGGCAGUAGUGCUCUUUUAUUUAGAGAAUAGUGUGGAAUAGCAUGGGGACAGGACCCAUGGGCAGUCAGAGCUGCUGCUGCUGGCAUGGGGACAGGACCCAUGGGCAGUCAGAGCUGCUGCAAACAUGGGUUGAGGGUAGGGCUAAAUUUAAGGCGUAGGUAUGUGAGUUAUCUCUUUACAAGACAAAGGAAAGAAUAUGUAAAAAGUUGUUACAAUGAUAUCAGUGCCGGUGGGCUCUGGUUAUUGGGUGGUCUUAUAACUUUUAGAUAAGAAUCAAACCAGAUUAAGUAAAUGGCAGAGGCUACCACCUUAAAUAUUAUCUUCAGCUAAAGACAAAGGAGGAUGUUGGUGGGUGGGUGGGGGUCAGUUACAUGAGGUUACCAGACAGUGAACAACUUAAGUCUUUGCCUUCCCUAUUAAGAGUUUCCAGAGAUAAGGCCAUCCCCCCUUCCUUUUGGUGCAGGGAGGGAGACACCCCCACAGAUGGAGACUUCCUUCACAAAUGCAAAUGUCUCUCAUCAAAGGGCAAGCAAAUUCCACUCCUCAGAGCCUCCUUCUUGUCUGCAUUUUUUAAAAUUAACCAGCCUAAAAUAAUCCUCAUCACCACCUGCACUGAUACCAUUUUAAUGACUUUUUAACAUAAUCUUUCCUUUGUUUUGUAAAGAAAUAAUUCACAUACCUAUGCUUUGUAAAUUUAGCCCUACCUUCAACUCAUUGCAGCUCUUCACUGCCCAUGGGUCCUGUCCCCAUGCUACUCCAUGCUAUUCUCUGAAUAAAGGAACACUACUCCCAGACCUUGAGAGUCCAAGAAAUCUUUCUUUUGACUCCUCGGCUCACUGAGCCCGCAUCAGUUCCUCUCUAUAAAAUGGCGUCCUUUGUGCUAACCUAUGUUAACCAUGGACUGUGUUUAUCUUAGCUUUCAGGUGGUGCUAACAUGAAUGCUCUUAAAGCUUAGAAGUUUGUUAGAAUUCAAAAAUUUUAAAGUGAAUAACUAGUGUUUGGAUGCUAUUUACAGUCAGCACAGGGAAACAAUGGCAUAUUGUUUACACUAGCAAAUUAGAAAUGUUUCUGCACCACACUCAUGAAUAAAAUUUUAAAGCAAACUCUUACUCAAUGGCUAGGAAAAUACAUUCUGCAUUGAGUGUUAAAGUUAUACAAUUAAAAAUAUACUCUUUAAAAAAAAUGACUAAAAAUGACAAAUGUGUUUUAAGGAUCAUCUACCUGAGGGUGACAGCUCAGCUUUAUCUGUGGAGCCAGUUUCAGCAACUUGGGGCAGCCUGGCCCUGAAUUAAAAAUUUUGAAGUCACUUCUGGGUCCAGCAAGAGAGACCAACUGUCAGUCACUAACGUUUGCUUUGGAAAAGUCCAGUUAGAGAAAGGGUGGCAGCACCCUUUCAAAUUACCGACGAAGACAGUGAGUGUCAAAACUAUGGCAUUAAGUUAUUUGCAUUUUCUAGGACUGCACCAAUGAAGACACUACCAUUUCUGCAGGGUUUGCACAGAAGGCAAACCUUCCAUCCUGACAGGUAAUCUGGUAAAGGAGUAAGUGAGCCAUUGGCCCUUCAUCAUAUGAAUAGUAUAGAUUCAAAAGGAGAAAGCAGCCAAAGGUUAGAAAGGUUGAUAAACACAGCAAUGGAAAAGAUGUGGGGAAGCCGGCAUUCACUUUUUCUAUUGAUGGGAGUAUAAAAUGGCACAACUCUUAGGGUGGUUCAUCAGGAAACGGUAGUGGAAAUUUGUCAUGCGCAAACUGACUCCACUAUCCUACUUCUAAGGUGUUAUUCUAAAGAAAUAAUAAACAAGUGACUGCAUUUGAUUCCCUAACCUCUUAAAUUCAAGUUCACGUGCUGGAUGUGCAGCAAGCCAAACACUUAGACAUCGGUGCUUGGAGAUGGAGAAAGGCCCCAUUAGAGUUGACCAAGCUGAGAGGUGGGAGCCUGGCUUUGCUCAAAUGCACCUUCACAAGAGCAGAAAACAGGAUUGUACAGAGCUAAGGGGCUGGGCAGGAGGAGCUCUGGGGAAACAAAGGGGUCACUCCUGAUAAGCCCCUGGGCGAUCUGACUUCUUUGCUUCAACAGCAGCUAGGGGCCCGCCAUCUGGUGAUGCAACAUCCCCGAAGGCAUUGUCUUUCUUCUGCAAAACAAGCUCACAAAUCCUGGAGACCACUGAGCCACCCCUCAAGUUAAACAGGAAAACGGCAAAUUGCUUAUUGAAUAUGCACAGUAACCCUCAGGUACCCGGCUUCAUAGUGUUAAUUAAAAUAGCAAAUUUUGGAAAAUUUAAAUGUCCUACAGUAAGAAAUGAGAUAAAUAGUAUAGCAAUAUCCUGUUAUAAAGCUGUUAUGUUGAUAAGGAUGUUAAACAUAUGGUAAAAAGAGUAAGACUGCACUGAUAAGAAAGUUAUAGAGUUAGAUUGUAAAAUAAACAAGCAAGUAGGAAAAUUUUGGAUUAUUCUAUAGGUAUAGGGGGUGCUCCUCCCCCCAGCCCCGGGCCACUGUCCAGCUGAUUUCUCCAGGGUCUGAGGGCUUUGUCUGGCCUCAGGAAUGUGCACUGGAAGCCUGACAUGCCAGGAAGUUCACACCCUUGCAGCCUGCAGCCAGUAAUUUGUGGGAGUUUGUGAGUAAAUAUUCCAGGUUCCUCACUCACUGGGUGGGACAACCCACGUCAUAUUCACUGUAGUUUCCCUGAAGUUCCCAGUGGAACUGGGCCUCAGUGUCCCACCAGGGUGACUUAUCCAUUAAUGGUCCCAAAGACCCUUCUUCCCAUCGCAUAUCCCUUUUCCUCUAUGGGUGCUCCUGGGUUCACCUUCCAGAUAAAACAAUAUCCUCUCCCAUUUUACUCAGGGUCUGCCUACAGGAGAAUCCAACCUAAAGCAGUCUUUUUGUAUGUAUUGCAUGGCUUGUGUGUGUGUAUCUAGUACAAGGCAACUACAAUAUACACCAAACUAUUGACAGUGCUUCUCUGUGCAGUAGAAUUAGAAGUGAUGCUUAAACUUUUCUGUGUCAUUUGAUUUAUUUUUGAGGAGAGUGUGUUAUUUGUGGAAGGACGAUUUGUGGACCAAAUGGGCGGUGCACUGUGCCUCCCGGGUACACUGAGUCCUAGGCUGAGGAAAGAUGCACUUCAGAUGGGAGAGGCGGAUGUUUGCAGGUCGUGCACUGCCUUCCUCCAGGAGGGUUGCCUGUUCUGUUCUGGAACUUGGCAGGAUACAGGCUGAAGCCCCCCGGUACAUAGUCAUAUAUUCUUCGUUGUGGGUCCUUCCAGUUGUGGCAUGUGGGACGCUACCUCAGCGUGGUUUGAUGAGCAGUGCCAUGUCCGCACCCAGGAUUCGAACCAACAAAACACUGGGCCACCUGCAGUGGAGCGCGUGAACUUAACCACUCGGCCACGGGGCCAGACCCUCCUUUUUGAUCACUUCAUUAUAACUAUACAGAUCUUGAUUUUAAUGUUAAAAGAGAGAAAUGACAAGAAAAAUUCAGGGAAUAUAAUAUAUUAUUUUAAAACACAUCCUUUUCCCCAUAAAUGAACCUCUCAUUAUUUGCAUAUCUGUGUGUAACUACAAUGGAAAAAUAAAAUAAC
rnacentral:lncRNA from 1 species